UUCCUCUCUCUGUGUCUCCUCAUUUGUGUUUUUCCUUCUCCUUUUCCUUGGCCUCCAGCUGUGCUUCUGCAGGUCUCACAGUGAGAGACAAAGCACAGUGUCUGAACUGAGCACAAAGAAGCUACCUUUAAAAAACAUCGACUUAGAGGAAACCUGCAUCCUCAGAUGCCUCCCUCCCUUUCUUGCUAUUUACAGAACUCAGCCUUACACUUCACACAGGCCCGUUGUCUGCGUGAUUCUAGCCAGGAAAAUCGGUGAAGAUGGCCAUAUACCCACUGUGUGUAUAGAUAGGUAGAGACCCCAAUUAUCAGGAGCUACCUGUUUUCCGGGAUCAUCGUGUAGCCGAGCUUUGAAAACACACGCCAACAGACAUGAUGGGAGAGGCUCCCCUCUUCAAGCCAGGAUGUCUUUCAUUUUUAUCUUGUGCCACUUUUUUUGUCAUCGGAAUGAUUACUUAUCAUUAUCAAGGGGCUUUAGGCUGAUCAAUGGAGUGUGUAUGUAUCUGAUGGACAUUUGAGGAGAAACCCUUCAGAAAGAAGGAAAAUGUCUGCAGUGGAAGUAGAGGGUUAGUAUGAGCUACAGUGACUGAUGAGUUCAUUUCAAAAUCCACGGGCACGUAAGUGGUAAAUUAGUACAUACAGCAAACAGAGUCAGCAAGCAAAGCCUCCCGUUGAAAGGAAAGAGACUUCAAGCAUUGUAGUCAUCUCACGCCCGAAGAAAGUGCGUAUUUUAAAUAUAGAUUCGAAUCCCUGCUCUUUUAUCCCUCUACAUGCCGAUUUCAAAGAAGUAUUUGGGCACUGUUGACUUUCCGUCCGUGAAGAAAACCCACCAAGAUGCAGGAAACGUACACAUGCACUCCAACAUGCUUAGGUGUUUUAGAUGCUCGUGGGAUGCGGAACAAUUAGGCAGAGAACUGCACUGUGGUCUCUCUUCGUCACUCCUUCCCCCCCCCCUUUUUUUUUUCCCUCCCUUCUAGAAAGCGUGAUACCUGAUCUCUGGGUCUAGCAGGCUGAGGAUUUUUCUGUAUUUGUAUAAUACAAUGUCUGGCCUUCCCCCUGACCUGCUGGUGUAUUUUUGGUCUCAUUAGUAGUCAGAAAGAUGCUUUCAUGCAUCCGGGGCUGCGAGUCAGGGUGAGACAUACAACGGUGAGAGGGAGUGAGCGCGAGAGGAUAUUAGAAGGGAGGCUUGUCUCCAAGAUAUGGAAGGAAGUGGGAAAUGACAGGACGGCAAGCUUUGUAUGGAGGGGCCUGGCAGGGCGGGGGAGUGGCGGGGAGAGCCAAGUGGAUUCUCAGAAAAGGAGGGAAGCCGUGGAAGAGCGAAAGGUGAUUAGAGGGGGAUAUUGAUUCCUUAUUCUGCCAGAGAUUGAAGCAAGCAUGCGAGGAAUCUGCACCAUGGUUGGCAAAAGGAGACCCUGUAACCAGACACUCAGGCUUUCCAGGAGCCCAGGGAGAGAGCCGAGAAGAAAGGGGGCAGUGUGGUCUAGGAAAAUUCAACUUGUCGCUGAUUUGUGCCUGAUGCUUGCUGUCCGUCAGCAGCCUCCCUUACAAUCUUUUUUUCUCUCUCUCCCUUUUUUUCUUGCCUUCUCCUUCUUCACUGAAGCCUAGGGGAGCCAGCAAAGAUUAAAUGUGCUUUCUCAAAGGCAGCCACUUCAUGCUGCUAUGUCGAAAGGGCCAUUAUUAUUAUUAUUUUUAAUAGUAAAAGAAAACGGGAGAGAGAGGCUGAGACAGAGAGAGAAGCAAGGUAGGCUGAUGACGGACUAGCUUUUCUGGGAGGAAAAGGAAAGUGAGGGAGAAAGGAGAAACCCUGAACUGAACCGGAUCGUGCCUGAGAAGAACCUCCAGAGCAUAAACUACAGAGUCACAGUCUCUAGAUUUGGUGUAGCGUUUCCUGCCCCCGCCUCCCCUCCCCGCCCCGUGGUCGGUCCUCUAUUGAAACACCUCGCCCAGGCCAGCGCACUGCGAGCUCGCAUUUCCCCCCCUUGCUCGGAAUGGUGUCAUGGGAGGCUGCAGCCCCGCUCCGCUUCCGAAGGUUGUGUUGACGUUCCUUUCAGCUGGUCCUAUAGUCCCCUUUCUCAGGAAGGUCUCCCCAGUGAAAGGAUGUAAACGGCACUGGACACAGCUACACUGGGGGAUGCUCAAGCCAACUAUGAAGUUGAAACAAAGGAAAUGAUCACCUGAAGACACCUCUCCUGCUAAGCAUCACCCCCAAAGGAUGCAAUUUCAGGCAAUAGAACUCCCAGAAUACGAGGCAAUCUUUUCAAGAAAUGGAAAAAACUUCACAGUGACAUCUAGAUUCCUAAAGAGCCAAGGACUUUCCCUUCCUCGUGUGUAUUCCUCUGUUUGUAUUUUAAUUCAGUGGGACAUUCAUUUCUAAAAUAUCUCCCCGGUAUGGAUAUGCUUAUUAAUGCACCAAUUUUUAAAAUAGAAAAUUGCACAAAUGUGUUCAUGUUUUAAGGAACAAAAUUAAUGCUGUAAGUAGGUUGAUUUCUAGCCCACACACGGUUUGAUCUGAAGAGUGACAUAAAGGAAUAUAAAGUACUUUUGAAAUAACAAGGUAGUCAGAGGCAACCCAAAGGCUAAAAUAACGGUGGAAACUCAUAAGGCAACUGAAAAAUGCCACCGUAUCCCACCUGACACCAACCAAUUAACUAUUCUUUUAAUCAAGCAAGAUAGGUUCCGAAGACAUGGUCAUUGCUUCUGAAGAGUGUAAAUCUAGUUCUACAGGGAUACAUAAACUUUUGAAAAGAUCGUAACAAAUCAGGUCUAUAGAUGUUAAGACCACAACAAAACAAAAGAUAUAAAGAAAGAGCUUGGAGGAAGUCACCAUUAUCUGGCAAAACUAGUCUGUUUAGGGAACAGAGUUCCCAAAGGAGGAAAAUAAAAGAUGAAUCUUAAAGAAUGUUGAAGAUUUAGGCGCACCUGUCUGGCUCAGUUGGUAGAGCGUGUGACUCCUAAUCUCAGGAUUGUGAGUUUAAGCCCUACAUUGGGCAUGGA